GAUGAACGCUGGCGGCGUGCCUAAUACAUGCAAGUCGAGCGAACAGAUGAGGAGCUUGCUCCUCUGACGUUAGCGGCGGACGGGUGAGUAACACGUGGAUAACCUACCUAUAAGACUGGGAUAACUUCGGGAAACCGGAGCUAAUACCGGAUAAUAUAUUGAACCGCAUGGUUCAAUAGUGAAAGACGGUUUUGCUGUCACUUAUAGAUGGAUCCGCGCCGCAUUAGCUAGUUGGUAAGGUAACGGCUUACCAAGGCAACGAUGCGUAGCCGACCUGAGAGGGUGAUCGGCCAAACUGGAACUGAGACACGGUCCAGACUCCUACGGGAGGCAGCAGUAGGGAAUCUUCCGCAAUGGGCGAAAGCCUGACGGAGCAACGCCGCGUGAGUGAUGAAGGUCUUCGGAUCGUAAAACUCUGUUAUUAGGGAAGAACAAAUGUGUAAGUAACGAUGCACGUCUUGACGGUACCUAAUCAGAAAGCCACGGCUAACUACGU
rnacentral:rRNA from 1 species